rnacentral:rRNA from 1 species
UACGAAGGGGGCUAGCGUUGCUCGGAAUCACUGGGCGUAAAGGGUGCGUAGGCGGGUCUUUAAGUCAGGGGUGAAAUCCUGGAGCUCAACUCCAGAACUGCCUUUGAUACUGAGGAUCUUGAGUUCGGGAGAGGUGAGUGGAACUGCGAGUGUAGAGGUGAAAUUCGUAGAUAUUCGCAAGAACACCAGUGGCGAAGGCGGCUCACUGGCCCGAUACUGCCGCUGAGGCGCGAAAGCGUGGGGAGCAAACAGG